rnacentral:rRNA from 5 species
GUUAAGCGACUAAGCGUACACGGUGGAUGCCCUGGCAGUCAGAGGCGAUGAAGGGCGUGCUAAUCUGCGAUAAGCGCCGGUAAGGUGAUAUGAACCGUUAUAACCGGCGAUACCCGAAUGGGGAAACCCAGUGUGAUUCGUCACACUAUCAUUAACUGAAUCCAUAGGUUAAUGAGGCGAACCGGGGGAACUGAAACAUCUAAGUACCCCGAGGAAAAGAAAUCAACCGAGAUUCCCCCAGUAGCGGCGAGCGAACGGGGAGGAGCCCAGAGCCUGAAUCAGCAUGUGUGUUAGUGGAAGCGUCUGGAAAGGCGCGCGAUACAGGGUGACAGCCCCGUACACAAAAGCGCAUGUGCUGUGAGCUCGAUGAGUAGGGCGGGACACGUGGUAUCCUGUCUGAAUAUGGGGGGACCAUCCUCCAAGGCUAAAUACUCCUGACUGACCGAUAGUGAACCAGUACCGUGAGGGAAAGGCGAAAAGAACCCCGGCGAGGGGAGUGAAAAAGAACCUGAAACCGUGU